GUAACAAGGUUUCCGUAGGUGAACCUGCGGAAGGAUCAUUAUCAAUUUUACAGUCCAUGGGAUGGGGGUAUAAAAGCCCCCAUCCUAUGCUGUUCAACCCUUUGUCUUUUGCGUACUGUAUGUUUCCUCGGCGGGUUCGCCCGCCGAUAGGACACUUCAAAACCUUUUGUAAUUGCAAUCAGCGUCAGAAAAACUAUAAUAGUUACAACUUUCAACAACGGAUCUCUUGGUUCUGGCAUCGAUGAAGAACGCAGCGAAAUGCGAAAAGUAGUGUGAAUUGCAGAAUUCAGUGAAUCAUCGAAUCUUUGAACGCACAUUGCGCCCCUUGGUAUUCCAUGGGGCAUGCCUGUUCGAGCGUCAUUUGUACCCUCAAGCUCUGCUUGGUGUUGGGUGUUUGUCCCGCCUUCGCGCGUGGACUCGCCUUAAAGUGAUUGGCAGCCGGAAUAAUUCUGGGGAACGCAGCACAACUGCAGCCUCCAUUUUACGCCGAGCGUCCAGUAAGCCUUUUUUCAACGUUUGACCUCGGAUCAGGUAGGGAUACCCGCUGAACUUAAGCAUAU
rnacentral:rRNA from 1 species